UUUUUGGAAGCUCCCACAUCCCAUGGGGGCUGUGUCAGAGAUGAGCAUAUCAUUUUCUUUUCCAGCACCAGCUGCCCAAAGGAAGAUCACCGAACCUCAGUGGGAUUUUCCCUGCAGCUGCAUCUUCUGACUCCUUGUCAUUCUUAUUCCAGGGAACAAGUAGAAUCACUAGAUUACCCAAGAAGAAGAUGACUCUUUCAUUGGUGGCUGUGAAUGUUGGUCUUGCCUUUGGAGUAUGUUGUAUUCAAAGCAAAUUAAUGUUGAAUUACAAAAAAGCUUUACAAUAACAUAAAUUGGCUUCUACGACCACUGUGGCUAAGAGUUUUAAAGAUAUCUUUGCUUUCUGAUUUGCUGAUGUAUGUAUCCAACAUGUUUAUGAUUAUUUAACUUUGGAAUUGUACUCAAAUUUCAUAUCCUAUUAAAAAAUAUGUUGUAAAAAUAAAGAAAAAUUCUGAAUUGAUCUCUAAAUGAAC
rnacentral:lncRNA from 1 species